GCAACGAUCGGUAGCCGGACUGAGAGGUUGAACGGCCACAUUGGGACUGAGACACGGCCCAGACUCCUACGGGAGGCAGCAGUGGGGAAUAUUGCACAAUGGGCGAAAGCCUGACCCAGCAACGCCGCGUGAAGGAUGAAGGCUUUCGGGUUGUAAACUUCUUUUAUUCGGGACGAAGAAAAUGACGGUACCGAAUGAAUAAGCCACGGCUAACUAC
rnacentral:rRNA from 1 species